rnacentral:rRNA from 1 species
AGAGUUUGAUCCUGGCUCAGGACGAACGCUGGCGGCGUGCCUAAUACAUGCAAGUUGAACGCUUGAUUUUCACCGAAGCUUGCUUCACCGAAAAUCAAGAGUAGCGAACGGGUGAGUAACGCGUGGGUAACCUACCUUUCAGCGGGGGAUAACUAUUGGAAACGAUAGCUAAUACCGCAUAACAAUGUUGGAUGCAUAUUCGACAUUUGAAAGUACCAACUGGUACACUGAGAGAUGGACCCGCGUUGUAUUAGCUAGUUGGUAGUGUAAUGGACUACCAAGGCGAUGAUACAUAGCCGACCUGAGAGGGUGAUCGGCCACAUUGGGACUGAGACACGGCCCAAACUCCUACGGGAGGCAGCAGUAGGGAAUCUUCGGCAAUGGACGAAAGUCUGACCGAGCAACGCCGCGUGAGUGAAGAAGGUUUUCGGAUCGUAAAACUCUGUUGUUAGAGAAGAACGUUGCAUAGAGUGGAAAAUUAUGCAAGUGACGGUAUCUAACCAGAAAGGGACGGCUAACUACGUGCCAGCAGCCGCGGUAAUACGUAGGUCCCGAGCGUUGUCCGGAUUUAUUGGGCGUAAAGCGAGCGCAGGUGGUUUAAUAAGUCUGAUGUAAAAGGCAGUGGCUCAACCAUUGUGUGCAUUGGAAACUGUUAGACUUGAGUGCAGUAGAGGAGAGUGGAAUUCCAUGUGUAGCGGUGAAAUGCGUAGAUAUAUGGAGGAACACCGGUGGCGAAAGCGGCUCUCUGGACUGUCACUGACACUGAGGCUCGAAAGCGUGGGUAGCAAACAGGAUUAGAUACCCUGGUAGUCCACGCCGUAAAC